UGAGUCAAAGGGACAAAUGGACACAAAACGGAUGCUUGCAUACGUGUUUGUGUCUAUGGGGACCGCAAAAACAUGAGAAAGCAGCCAUUUUUGUAAAAAAAUGAGCGGAUUUCGAAUGUUUUCGUGAUUUUGAGAGUGCAAGGCACGGAAAAAUCACGUAUGACUCA
rfam:Firmicutes bacterium CAG:56 genomic scaffold, scf409